UACGGGGGGGGCAAGCGUUGUUCGGAAUUACUGGGCGUAAAGGGUGCGUAGGCGGUGCUCUAAGUCGGAUGUGAAAACUCUGGGCUCAACCCAGAGCCUGCAUCCGAAACUGGAGUGCUAGAGUUCUGGAGGGGGUAGCGGAAUUCCUGGUGUAGCGGUGAAAUGCGUAGAUAUCGGGAGGAACACCAGUGGCGAAGGCGGCGAUCUGGACAGAUAUUGACGCUGAGGUGCGAAAGCGUGGGGAGCAAACAGG
rnacentral:rRNA from 1 species